ACACAAAACUUUUGAAGAGUCAUGGCUGGGUUUGCAAUAAGCUUCCCAGAAUGAAUCAUGUAUCAUUCUGUGAUGACAGAGAUAUUCAGUGAGUUGAAUGAGGCACACAGAUAUUCAAAAAUGUCAGAUCUCUGUAGUAACUUUAAACAACUUCUCUUUAUUUAUUAAUAAAAGAAAGAAAGUUGGGAAAAAAAAUGUUCCUAAGACCAAAGACCUCUGUCUUUCUCAAGUCUCUUGGACAAAUUCUGAGCUAUUCUCCUUUAUGGUAUUUUUGAUGUCCCAGAAUUAUUCUUUCUUGGGUGUCUCCAGUGGACCUGGAACCAGCAGGAACAUUUGUUGAACAUUUAUAUAAAGAUUUUUUGAAAGGUUAGUUGAUUUUUUUUUCUGUGCUGAGUGUCCCCUACAGCUUAGCUAAUGGGGGCAUUCAGCAUAUACUUCAGUGGCUCUCAAUUUUAGAUUUUCUUUUCAGGUCACUAGAAGUGGUUGAUAAAAGAGAGCAGAAGAAAACCAGAGGAAAGAAAUAGAAAACAGCCUGCUGAAAAUGGCAACAGAUAAAGAUAAGAUAAACCGGAGCUGAAACACUGGAUAAGUGGCAGCAGAAAGCUUUCAUCUGCAUUGUCUUCAGCGUAUCAUUAAGUGGCGUUUCAAAUGUGUGGAAUAUGCUACAUAAAUUGGCAACAUGUUUCCAGUGGGUGAAAGUUGUUCUUCAAGGUAUGAGCAAGUCUUAAUGGAUUCUUUCUAGAAGUUGCUGCAUAUUUUCCUAAUUUCGUGGCUGGAUUUUCCAUAUAAUUCUGGUAUGC